UGGCGGCGCUGCUCGUGGCGAGCUGGGGCUUGGUGCGUUCCAGGUCGCGGUCGAGUUCGGCGAUGCGGUGGUACGACUCUUCGGUCGCCGA
rnacentral:tRNA from 1 species